GAUGAACGCUGGCGGCGUGCCUAAUACAUGCAAGUCGAGCGAACAGAUGAGGAGCUUGCUCCUCUGACGUUAGCGGCGGACGGGUGAGUAACACGUGGAUAACCUACCUAUAAGACUGGGAUAACUUCGGGAAACCGGAGCUAAUACCGGAUAAUAUAUUGAACCGCAUGGUUCAAUAGUGAAAGACGGUUUUGCUGUCACUUAUAGAUGGAUCCGCGCCGCAUUAGCUAGUUGGUAAGGUAACGGCUUACCAAGGCAACGAUGCGUAGCCGACCUGAGAGGGUGAUCGGCCACACUGGAACUGAGACACGGUCCAGACUCCUACGGGAGGCAGCAGUAGGGAAUCUUCCGCAAUGGGCGAAAGCCUGACGGAGCAACGCCGCGUGAGUGAUGAAGGUCUUCGGAUCGUAAAACGCUGUUAUUAGGGAAGAACAAAUGUGUAAGUAACUAUGCACGUCUUGACGGUACCUAAUCAGAAAGCCACGGCUAACUACGUG
rnacentral:rRNA from 1 species